rnacentral:rRNA from 1 species
GAUAAGGGAACCUCGAGUGCCAGGNUUACAAAUCUGGCUGUCGAGAUGCCUAAAAAGCAUUUCAUAGCAAGGGCCGGGCAAGACCGGUGCCAGCCGCCGCGGUAACACCGGCGGCUCGAGUGGUAACCGUUAUUAUUGGGUCUAAAGGGUCUGUAGCCGGCCGGAUAAGUCUCUUGAGAAAUCUGGCAGCUUAACUGUCAGGCUUUCAGGAGAUACUGUCUGGCUCGAGGCCGGGAGAGGUGAGAGGUACUUCAGGGGUAGGGGUGAAAUCUUGUAAUCCUUGAAGGACCACCAGUGGCGAAGGCGUCUCACCAGAACGGACCUGACGGCAAGGGACGAAAGCUAGGGGCACGAACCGGAUUAGAUACCCGGGUAGUCCUAGCCGUAAACGAUACUCGCUAGGUGUCGGCCACGGUGCGACCGUUGUCGGUGCCGUAGGGAAGCCGUGAAGCGAGCCACCUGGGAAGUACGGCC